rnacentral:rRNA from 1 species
GACGAACGCUGGCGGCGUGCUUAACACAUGCAAGUCGAACGGAAAGGCCCUGCUUGCAGGGUACUCGAGUGGCGAACGGGUGAGUAAUACGUGGGUUAUCUGCCCUGCACUUCGGGAUAAGCCUGGGAAACUGGGUCUAAUACCGGACAGGAGCCAUUUUUAGUGUGAUGGUUGGAAAGUUUUUUCGGUGUAGGAUGAGCUCGCGGCCUAUCAGCUUGUUGGUGGGGUAAUGGCCUACCAAGGCGGCGACGGGGAGCCGGCCCGAGAGGGUGGACAGCCACAUUGAGACUGAGACACAGACAAGACUCCGACGGGAGGCAGCGGUAGGGAAGAGUGAACAAUGGGCGCGAGCCAGAUGCAGCGCCGCCGCGUAGGGGAUGACGGCCUACGGGUUGUAGUCUCAAUUCGCUAGGGACGAAGCUUUUUGUGACAGUACCUAGAUAAGAAGCACCGGCUAACUACGUG